rnacentral:rRNA from 1 species
GAUGAACGCUGGCGGCGUGCCUAAUACAUGCAAGUCGAGCGAACGGACGAGAAGCUUGCUUCUCUGAUGUUAGCGGCGGACGGGUGAGUAACACGUGGAUAACCUACCUAUAAGGCUGGGAUAACUUCGGGAAACCGGAGCUAAUACCGGAUAAUAUUUUGAACCGCAUGGUUCAAAAGUGAAAGACGGUCUUGCUGUCACUUAUAGAUGGAUCCGCGCUGCAUUAGCUAGUUGGUAAGGUAACGGCUUACCAAGGCAACGAUGCAUAGCCGACCUGAGAGGGUGAUCCGCCACACUGGAACUGAGACACGGUCCAGACUCCUACGGGAGGCAGCAGUAGGGAAUCUUCCGCAAUGGGCGAAAGCCUGACGGAGCAACGCCGCGUGAGUGAUGAAGGUCUUCGGAUCGUAAAACUCUGUUAUUAGGGAAGAACAUAUGUGUAAGUAACUGUGCACAUCUUGACGGUACCUAAUCAGAAAGCCACGGCUAACUACGUG